GAGUCUGAAUAGGGCGUUUAGUAUUUGGUCGUAGACCCGAAACCAGGUGAUCUACCCUUGGUCAGGUUGAAGUUCAGGUAACACUGAAUGGAGGACCGAACCGACUUACGUUGAAAAGUGAGCGGAUGAACUGAGGGUAGCGGAGAAAUUCCAAUCGAACCUGGAGAUAGCUGGUUCUCUCCGAAAUAGCUUUAGGGCUAGCCUCAAGUGAUGAUUAUUGGAGGUAGAGCACUGUUUGGACGAGGGGCCCCUCUCGGGUUACCGAAUUCAGACAAACUCCGAAUGCCAAUUAAUUUAACUUGGGAGUCAGAACAUGGGUGAUAAGGUCCGUGUUCGAAAGGGAAACAGCCCAGACCACCAGCUAAGGUCCCAAAAUAUAUGUUAAGUGGAAAAGGAUGUGGCGUUGCCCAGACAACUAGGAUGUUGGCUUAGAAGCAGCCAUCAUUUAAAGAGUGCGUAAUAGCUCACUAGUCGAGUGACACUGCGCCGAAAAUGUACCGGGGCUAAACAUAUUACCGAAGCUGUGGAUUGUCCUUUGGACAAUGGUAGGAGAGCGUUCUAAGGGCGUUGAAGCAUGAUCGUAAGGACAUGUGGAGCGCUUAGAAGUGAGAAUGCCGGUGUGAGUAGCGAAAGACGGGUGAGAAUCCCGUCCACCGAUUGACUAAGGUUUCCAGAGGAAGGCUCGUCCGCUCUGGGUUAGUCGGGUCCUAA
rnacentral:rRNA from 1 species